GAUGAACGCUGGCGGCGUGCCUAAUACAUGCAAGUAGAACGCUGAAGGAAGGAGCUUGCUCUUUCCGGAUGAGUUGCGAACGGGUGAGUAACGCGUAGGUAACCUGCCUGGUAGCGGGGGAUAACUAUUGGAAACGAUAGCUAAUACCGCAUAACAGUAGAUGUUGCAUGAUAUCUACUUAAAAGGUGCAAUUGCACCACUACCAGAUGGACCUGCGUUGUAUUAGCUAGUUGGUGAGGUAACGGCUCACCAAGGCGACGAUACAUAGCCGACCUGAGAGGGUGAUCGGCCACACUGGGACUGAGACACGGCCCAGACUGCUACGGGAGGCAGCAGUAGGGAAUCUUCGGCAAUGGACGGAAGUCUGACCGAGCAACGCCGAGUGAGUGAAGAAGGUUUUCGGAUCGUAAAGCUCUGUUGUAAGAGAAGAACGAGUGUGAGAGUGGAAAGUUCACACUGUGACGGUAUCUUACCAGAAAGGGACGGCUAACUACGUG
rnacentral:rRNA from 1 species